UCCUGCCCAGUGAAUUAAGGUUUCAACGGCCGCGGUACCCUGACCGUGCAAAGGUAGCAUAAUCAUUUGCCUUUUAAUUGGAGGCUAGUAUGAAUGGACACACGUAAGACCUAUUGUCUCAUCAUUAUUUAUAUAAAUUAGCCUUCAGGUGAAGAGACCUGAAUUCAAUUAAAAGACAAGAAGACCCUAUUGAGUUUUAUCAAUAUAGUCUCACUCAAAACUGUAAUCUAUAAGUUUUGAUCAAGACCCUUGAUUUGGUUGGGGCAACCAGGGGUUAAUUCCUACACCCCCCACAACUAAGAAAUUAAUUCCUCCUACUAUCCGCCAAAGCGAAUAAAGAAUAACACUACCAUAGGGAUAACAGGCUAAUAUCUUCAGAGAGUUCACAUUGACGAAGAGGAUUGGCACCUCGAUGUUGGCUUAGGGUAUCCCUUAAAUGCAGCAGUUUAAAAAGGUUGGUUUGUUCAACCAUUAAAACCCUACGUG
rnacentral:rRNA from 1 species